UAUUUCCAGUAUUUCACGAGAUUUAACUGUAAUAUUUCACAAUGAAUUACACGAUGGUGACUUUACAGACUUUAACUGUGUUAUUAAUACUGUACUCUGAAUGUUACUGUGACAUCGAUGCAGCGUCGACGUACCGUAAAAAUUUGAAUUUGAACUUUAUCGCACAGCAUUGUGGGAUUGACAGCGUCAGUUUGGUUCAGAUACGGUGAGUAAUGAAAUCAGGUUUGUUAUUUAACUAAACGACAGAGUUUUUGAUCUAAUAAUGUAUAUUAUUUUACCCUGUAACUUAACUAGCAUUAACUGUUUGUCAUAUAUGUGUUGUUUAAGCCAGAGGAAAGAAUUAGCACACAGAGAUACGGUAGCUAAGCUAACUGUUCCUCCAGUAAGUUUGCUCACUUUUAAACAGGCUCAUAUCUAAUGUUACCUGCAACGUUAACCUACCUGUAUUAUAGCUUGUAGCACCUUGGAAUCAUUAGCUAGCUGGUCAGAAAGCCUCGCUUUAAACGUUUUGACCAUCAUCCGUUAGCUAGCUUUUGUCAUUGCUAACUGUAUCAUUGCUAACUGACUGUAUAUAAAGAUGGCUCCCCAAGAGUGACACCAAAACAUCUGGAUCGCCUCCUGCCGGAGAGGACAUAAAGCAAACUAACAUAUCUGUGGUGAAGUAAAACUGUGAACCAGAGUUUUCUGGUAAAGAUCACAUGUGUUCAGGAUCUGUAAAUGCUGUAAAUGUAGAUGCUGGUUCACUUUUAACAGGCUCAGUUUUUGUAGUUUUGCUUUAGGAUCCUACUUUAAGAUAAAUGCUACGAUACUGUGUGUGCAGAAAUUUAUAGUUCAGUUUUAUUUUGCAGGUUUGUGCCACCGAUGUCAAAUGUACUGUCAUAGCAGGCUCCCCUCACUUUACUGUCCAAGAAUGAUGAAGAGUAUGUGCAGUUUAAUAUUCAUCUGCUGAGUGUGAUGUGGGAACCUGAAGCCUGCAGGUCACCGUGAGGACGGACUCUUCAGGGAAGGAGGAGACAUCCUUCAGUUGAACCUUUGUAAAAGCUGUCAACCGGCUUACAUACGGGCCAGUUCUGGCAACGCCGGCCUCCGGUGUUGGGCCAGUUUGUGUGGGCCAGCUCUGGCAGUUUUGUUGUGGUGAUUGUGGCCCAAUGCUGGCAGUGUCAGUGAGGUUUUGGCACCCAGACUCAGGCCAGUAUAGGCUACGUCUGCCAUUUUUGUUGGAGGGGGGGGGGGGCCCUAUGCUGGCAAUGCUGGUUCAGUGUCGGCAGCCGGCCCGGUGAACUCGGGCCGAUUCUGGGGCAGCAUUCAAACCGGGUUUGGCACGAGUCUGGCAGCCGUACUCCGGCCGAGUUAUUUCUUCUGGCCUGCAGGAUUUGGGCCAUUAUGGGAACAACGGACCAUCCUGGCUACCUGGACAGCUUCAGUUUAUUUAAAGAGUCUCUGCUCACUUUACAGCUGACGUGUCACCCUGAACCGGCAGCAGCAGAGGGGUUUCAUCUCCGGAGGUUUCUGCUGCGAGCGUCUUGACCCUGCAGGAUGAAGCUUUAAAUUAACAGAUGAUUCAGUUUCCUCCUGCAUGAAGCUUACGUAUUCAUCAGACUGGAAAAACACAUUUUUAUUUCACACAAGACGUAAAAGAAGGAAAACAAGGGGACAUGAAUAUCGAGCGUUACAGAUAAUCAGCUUCCUGUUUGUUUGUCCUUCAAAAUAAAGUCUCGUUUCAUAUUU